GCCAGGUCCCUCUCCUCAGGUCCCGGCCCAGACACCCGGCACCCCGUCCCGGAGUUGCACCUCAGGUCCUUAAGGCUGCCGAUUGGUCUUUCCAGUAGAGGGCUGGUUCUUCAGCACUGCCAAUGAGAGGGCUCAAAGAGGAGGAUCGUCACACCCAGUCCCAGCUCAGUUGCUCUCUGACCUACAAGGCAAAGACCAGAUGGUCCCCAAAGAGAAUACUGGCAAGUUGUAAAAAUUAUAUGCUCUAUAUUAUGAAGGCAUUUUCAGGAGAAAAGAAAAAGCAGUGUCUAAAAUACUAUUAAAACUUACUGCCUCUCAAAA
rnacentral:lncRNA from 1 species